CGGCUACCCGAACUCCUCCUGCUCUGGCUCCCCGUCCCGCUAGGGAGCGGAGAAGUCUAGGAGGAGGACCGUGUGCCGGAAGAAGUCUGGAUUCCACCUGCUAGUUGUGCACAAAAACCUGAAGAAAGUAAAGUAACUGCAAAGCAUGGGACCUGAGCUAGUGGAAUCCCUGGACUGCCUAUUUCUUUCCCAGUGGAGAAAAGAACUGAACCUCACCCCAUCUAGACCGCCAGAGCCUGCUGUGAAACAGGAAUCCAGGUGCAGCUCAGCUGAGUGCCUCUGUGUCAAGAUCUCUCACAAGACUGCAGUGAAGGUGUUGGCUGGGGCUGCAGUCCUAUUUCAUGCCUGACUGGAAAAGGGUCUGUUUCUAAGGUUACUCACAUGGCUGUUGGCAGGAUUCAAUCCUCAAGGGCUGUUGGACAGAGGGCCUUGGUUCUUUGCUCGCUGGAGGCCACCCUCCUGGCUAUGUGGGCCUCUCCAUAAGGCAACCCACAAAAUGGCAGCUGCCUUCCAUCAGAGUGAGCAGGCAAGAGAGAAAGAGAUAGAGAAUGAGAAAAACAGAGAAAGAGAUGGAUGGAAGCCAACGUGUUUUUACCUAAUCUUAGAUGUGACAUCCCAUCGAUUUUGCCUUAUUCUGUUCAUUAGAAGUGAGUCACUAGGCUCAACCCACAAUCAAGAGAAUGAAGACCAGGAGCUAUCUAGAGGGCUGCCUGGUACACAGUUCAAAUCCCAAUUAAUGCCAAAGUUAUGCUAUUUCACCUUUGCAGAGCUCUGCCCUCCCCCAUAUCUGACUUGGACAACUAUGACCCAUUCUUCAGGGCUCCGAGAUCCUCACCCACCAGGACUGAGUUAAGUGGCCCUUGAGCUGCCUCUAUGAUACCCUAGGCUUCUCCAUCAUAGCCUCCACCACACCAAUUACAAGGGCAUGGUCUGCCUCCUGCCCCUUCUGCAAGCUCUGUGCAGGCAGCAGCCUUGUCUCUUCUCCUCAUUGAUGUGGACCCAGACCUAAACUUAAGGCCAGAAAUGUACCAGACACUUAGUAUAUGUAUACUAAACUUAUUAACUGAAUGUUCUUGUAAGACGGCUCUGUUUUCUCUUCUGAUUAAAACUCCUCAGUUGGCUUUUUAUUACAAAGAGUAGGGAGUCCAGACUCAGAAUGGCUUUCAAAUAACUCCCAUGUAUUGUCACUCCCUGACAAUGUGUAUCUCUCAUAUUGAUGUUUCUCUCUGUAUGUCUCUCCCCCUCCCUUCCACUCUCUCUAAAAAAAAUCAAUGGAGCGCUUCUACAAACUCUUGAAUCCACUGAGCUGGUUCGGGGCGGGAACAUGAGCCACCAGACCCCACGGGGAGAGGCGGCACGGCCUUGCAGCGGUCGGAAAGCGAGGGAGGCUCUGUCACGCAGCUGCUUGCAGGCACUAGGGGACGAGAAGUCCCAGAGUCCCGGAGAGGCAAGGAGCCGCAGAGACACCAUUGCUAUUUGCUCCACCCCGUGACUCCCGGAGACCCCGCCCUACCCAAUUUACAUCCCCAUCCAAGCCUUGACAGUGGCACAAAAAGACCCACCUGCACUUUUGAAGCAUAACCCAACAAAUUGCAGAC